GGAAGGAUCAUUAACACUUCUAUAUAACUUAUAAACCCCAAACCCUACUUCUGUUAAAUACUACAGUAUAAUCAAAAUAACAUAACCUAACUUAAUUUAACCCAUAACACCUAACAACAUAACUAAUUGACUAAUUUUCAGAUUGUAUCUCUUCUUAAGCAAAUAUGUAUUCUCUUCAUUUGUUUCUUUAAUCGGAAAUAAGUUUAGAUCUGAAAUAUAGCAAUAUAUAUCUUGAGUCGUUUGUGACGAGUUGAGUCCGAUCUUGUUUUAAUUCCAAUUCAUUGAUUUGAAUUGUAUUUUAAACAACAUAUAUAUAUUACAACUCUAAACAAUGGAUAUCUUGGUUCUCGCAACGAUGAAGAACGCAGCGAAAUGCGAUAUGUAAUGCGAAUUGCAGAAUUCAGUGAAUCAUCAAAUCUUUGAACGCAAAUGGCGCUCUCGGGUUAUUCCUGAGAGCACGCUUCUCUGAGGAUCGGUUUAAUCCAAUAUAAUCAACUUUCUUAAAACAAUAGUGAAAACUAAUUAAGAAUAGAAUCGUGAGUAGUAAAUGAGUGGAUUGAGAAAUUGAGUUCCUUGACUGUCCUCUUGUCUUUAGCAAUAAAGGGAAUGACUGUUGGGUUGAGUGAUAUUUUUCUCUUCUAAUUGAAAUGAACUUCUCUAUUUAAAUUAGGAUUCAUUAAUGUUAUAAGGUCACAAAGUUGGUUGAAAAUGAGUGUUUUGAUCAGCUAUUCAGUUAGACUUCAAAUCACUUUAAAAUGCAAAAUCAAUUACCAAAACCUUUUGAAUUCUUUUCAAUAUCUUUAGUAUUCUUGUAAUUCCAGAGUUCGUUUUAAUUGAAAUGAGAUAGUGUGAAGAUUAAAGUAAUUUAAUUUAAACAUCUUCAAAGCUUCCAUUUUGACUUGAGCCAGAAUUGUAUUUUUUACUGCACUGUGAAAUAUCAGUGUUUAAUAAGAAAUCAAGAAGAACAAGAGUUAAUUGGAAAUCGAGUCGAAGGUUAAAGUGUAAUUUGACAUUAUUGUCUUAAUUGAAAUAAGGAAUGCAAAUUCUUCUUUUUCAUGUUAGGAUCAAUAAAAACCGAUUAUGACUUUGAAAGUUCAAUAUAAGGAACUUGUUCUUUAUAAUGAAUCGAAUGAGUUGAAAUCAACCUCUUUACUUUGAAUUAGAUCUCAGAUGAAGCGAGACUACCCCCUGAAUUUAAGCAUAUUAAUAAGGGGAGGAAAAGAAACUAACAAGGAUUCCCCUAGUAACGGCGAGUGAAGCGGGAAAAGCUCAAACUGAAAAUCGGAAUUCUAAACAGAAUUUUGAAUUGUAGUCUAACGAUAUUUGAUCAGCAUGUUUCAUGAGUUUAAGUCCUUUGAAACAAGGCAUCAUAGAGGAUGAAAAUUCCGUCUUCAACUCAUUGUUAAACUGCGUACGACAAAUAUUCUAUGAGUCGAGUUGUUUGAGAAUGCAGCUCUAAAUGGGUGAUAUGUUUCAUCUAAAGCUAAAUAUAGGCGAGAGACCGAUAGUGAACAAGUACCGUGAGGGAAAGAUGAAAAGAACUUUGAAAAGAGAGUUAAACAGGGCUUGAAAUUGUUUAGAGGGAAGCGCUGAAAAUCAGUACCGUAAAAUAAGAAUGAUAUGUUAUUAAACCCCCUUACCUGAAGUUAAGAAUUCAAAUUUCUAGCAAUAGGAUUGAGUUUUUAAUGAAGGAUAACUUAGUAAUUUACGUCAAUCUUAUUGGGUCAGAAUCAAUUCGAUUUCUAUGAAAAAGUUAAAGGGAAGGUAGGAUUGAUGUGUAAAAGCAUUAGUCUGUUAUAGCCCUUUAAACCUAAUAGAAAUUGGAUUGAGGGUCUUCAUUAUGAUACGUCUUAAUUGGCUUGAUUUAAGAGUUUCUAUUUAACUCCUGAAACUUGGAAUUGAAUGAAUUGCUUGCUUUAUGGAGUUGAAUACUGAAUUCUUGAAUUGUAUGUAUCAUCGUGAUUCUGACAAAAUGGUUUUCAUCGACCCGUCUUGAAACACGGACCAAGGAGUCUAACAUAUAUGCGAGUAUUAGAGUGCUAAAACUCUGAUGCGGAAUGAAAGUAAAGUUAAUAAUUUCUUAUUAAUGAGAUAGGAAGUUUAAAUUUCUGUUAAAUGGCACUAUCGACCGAUCAUCACUUGUGUUUGAUUGAGUAAGAGCAUAUCUGUUGGGACCCGAAAGAUGGUGAUCUAUGCCUGAACAGGGUGAAGCCAGGGGAAACUCUGGUGGAGGCUCGUAGCGAUACUGACGUGCAAAUCGUUCGUCUGAUUUGGGUAUAGGGCGAAAGACUAAUCGAACCAUCUAGUAGCUGGUUCCCUC
rnacentral:misc_RNA from 1 species